rnacentral:rRNA from 1 species
GAUGAACGCUGGCGGCGUGCUUAACACAUGCAAGUCGAGCGAUGAAACUCGGCUUUUGUUGCUUUGAUGAUAGCCGCGGAGGGGAGAGACACGUGUGUAACCUCCAUCUUUCUUACUGGUAUAACCCCGGGAAGGCUGCUCUAACAGCAUAUACACUGUUCAUCGCCUUGGGUUAAGUGGAAAGGGCUUUUCUGGUGUGACUUAUACACGGAUCCUUGCCGCAUUUGCUAGGUGGUAAGGUAACGGCUUACCUAGGCAACGAUGCGUCGCCGAGCUGAGAGGGUGAUCGGCCGCACUGUAACAGAGACACGGUCCAGACGCCUAGGGGAGGCAGCGGUAGGGAAUCUUCCGCAAUGGGCGAAAGCCUGACGGAGCAACGCCGCGUGGGUGAGGGAGGGAUUCGGGUCGUAGAACUCUGUUAUUAGGGAGGAACAAAUGUGUAAGUAACUAUGCACGUCUUGACGGUACCGGAUCAGAAAGCCACGGCUAACUACGUG